GAGAUUUGGGGAAUAAAUCCCCUAAGGUUGGAUUGGACGUGAGGGCGGGGGAGACCCAUCUACUUCUGUCUUGCGGUGUCGGUUCCGAAGGAUGAAAAGAAAUACGAUCGCCAAAUCGAAGGAGGACUCGACGAAAGAGCUCAUACGGGAAAGAUCUGCGGCGGAAGACUGGUUACCGACGUCAACUCUGGACGUGGAGGAAGGAGGAGAAGGCAGCGACACCCUCUGGAGAUUGGAGAGAAGGCUCGCCGGAAAAUCGAAGGAUUUGAAGUCCCGGCGGCGCGCGGGUGCGUGUGACGGAUGCAGGCGACGGUGGCGACCUCCCCACGGUCGAUGACGAAGAUGAUGGAGCCUAGCGGUGGAAAGAUCGACGAAUUCCAAGAUGUUAGGAGCGCACCGGAUUCUGGAAAGGGGCUCGCCGGCGGUAACUGGUCUUGCCAGAGCUAGAGGUUGAUGACGACUGACCAAAGCACAAGUCCUAUACAUCUGCAGGACCAAACUGCAAGUUCUAGAGAGCCCAGAGACCUAUUUGCAGCCUGGAAAAUUAUAUAAGUGAGCUGACUGUAACUUCUAUAAAUUUAGAGGACUGUCUCUGUAAGUUUUCAAAUUCGUCAGUAAACUGACAUUUGUGCCCCUCUAAGUUUCAGCAGUUUGCAAACUAGUAAGCGAGGCAUAACUCGACCGUUUGACCUCCAAACGACCCAAACGACGCACCGUCGUAAGCUACGGUUUCGUGGAAGUAAGGGGAAUCGCCUCGAAUUUUAUUCUGACAUUUCAUAUCGUAAAUGAG
rnacentral:lncRNA from 1 species